rnacentral:lncRNA from 1 species
GGGAAAAAUAGCUGCAAACAAUUUCAUAGAAUUUUUUUUUUUUUUUUUUUUUUUAUGUAUAGGGAAAGAUAUAAAAGAUAUUUAACAGUUUGCAUCGGUGUUUCCGUGUCUUGCCUGGAAGUCUUUACAAUCACCCCUGUAUCUGAGUUACAAGGAAGGAAGAGAGAGAGCAGAUGAUGUUCCCUAAAUGCCUAUUUUAGAGAAACCUGAAUUACAUCUGACCAGCUUUUUAUCAAAUUAAUAGGAGACCAUCCUUUGUGAAGCAGACAAGUUUAUAGCCUUGUAAAAUGUGGAGAUGAGAUAUUCCUCUAAUUUGCCCUUUAGCUCUUCUUUCGUGGAAAACUAUUUUUCACAGCCUGGAGAUUUUAAAUAUUUCCCAGAUCUGUUUUAGAAACUGGACAUACUUCAUUGUCUUCCUCCUGAAUUUUCUUCUCUGAAACUAGCUCUAGUGAUGAAAAAAUGUACUUAGUAUGCUCUUGGCAUGCCAGUAACAGCUUCAAACUAGAAAUUAAUUUUUAAACACCAAGCUUCUGUGACCACUGUACUGCCAUUAAACUCUCUGGCAGAAACUUUAGUUUAACUCACUCACAGUUGAUGAUAGCAUUUUUUUUCAUGCUUCAUUUUAUGGUACACGUUACCUUUUCCACCAGAUUAAUAUUUAACUGAAAGUAUAUUGGAAAAGAAAAAAAAGAGGUAUAUUAA